CCUGCUCCAAAUUAUCAGAUCAACCAUUACUAUCAUCAAGAACAAGAUGAAAAUUCAACUGUCCUAACUAUCAAAAUAUAAAAUACUAUGGCACAACAGUGAUGAUGUAUCAAGAAAUGAAGAAGGUAAGAAAGUUCCAUGAAAAAGUGUCUUUUCCUAGCAUACAAAAACGUUUCCAGAUGGAACUAUGUUCUGCAAACUCGCCAAUGUGCUAGGUAGCUUACACUAUCAGGGUAAGCAAGGAUAUCAGGACAAUUCCACUGGAUAACCUGCUUGUACUAAGUUAAUUCCAUAUUGUCAUGAAGGUUUUUAAGGCUGUGUUAACUACGAAACAUCUUACUGCUGCCAAGUCGUGUUCAAGUUUCCUAUAGAAGCAGUCCAGUCAAAAGAUUUUAAAAUCGGAGAUCUGGGUGUUUUGAGCAACUCAGGAAGCCAACCUUGGCACUGUUCAUUUGUUCAAAUUAGGAGCCACAUAUGGCUAUGGCAAGGGCAACAAAGUCUUACCAGAUAAGCUUGGAGGAACAAGCGAUAAGCAAAGAUGGAAAGUGAUUCAGUGAAAUGGAUCACCAAAAAAAUCAUCACAAAAUGCAAAUGCAGUACAGACACGAAAUCAAGUCAACAGGUGCAAGACUCAGAUAUCAAAAUGCUCAUUAUCAGGAAGAAACAGAUGUUCAUGUGACAGUAGCUUACCUCAUCCAGUAAAUCACACAGCCUAGUUAUUUUGGCCUC